rnacentral:rRNA from 1 species
GAUGAACGCUGGCGGCGUGCCUAAUACAUGCAAGUCGAGCGAACAGACGAGGAGCUUGCUCCUCUGACGUUAGCGGCGGACGGGUGAGUAACACGUGGAUAACCUACCUAUAAGACUGGGAUAACUUCGGGAAACCGGAGCUAAUACCGGAUAAUAUAUUGAACCGCAUGGUUCAAUAGUGAAAGACGGUUUUGCUGUCACUUAUAGAUGGAUCCGCGCCGCAUUAGCUAGUUGGUAAGGUAACGGCUAACCAAGGCAACGAUGCGUAGCCGACCUGAGAGGGUGAUCGGCCACACUGGAACUGAGACACGGUCCAGACUCCUACGGGAGGCAGCAGUAGGGAAUCUUCCGCAAUGGGCGAAAGCCUGACGGAGCAACGCCGCGUGAGUGAUGAAGGUCUUCGGAUCGUAAAACUCUGUUAUUAGGGAAGAACAAAUCUGUAAGUAACUAUGCACGUCUUGACGGUACCUAAUCAGAAAGCCACGGCUAACUACGUGCCAGCCGCCGCAGUAA